AUGUCUCCCUAUAGGCUUGCUGCAUUUGGGUUUCGAGGAGCUUUGAAAUUACAGAACAAGUUUUAUGGCCCUUUUGUGAUAACUCAGAGAGUGGGCAAAGUAGCUUACAGACUGCAAUUUCCUGAUCAUGUCAAAAUUCAUCAUGUCUUCCAUGUGAGCCAGUUGAAAAAGCACAUAGGAUCUAAGUCCAUUCCCAGUAAAAACCUUCCGAUGGUUACAGCAGACGGCACAGUAAAGACUGGGCCGGCAGAAGUUCUUCAAGUCAGACAAGUGCCUCGACACAAUAUGCCAGUUGUACAGUGGUACAUUCAGUGGCAAAACCUACCGCCAGAAGAUGCAACGUGGGAAGAUGCGGAUUUCAUAAAGUAUACAUUCCCUGAGUUCUUUAAAGCUACGACACAAGUGUGGCGAGAGCAACAACAAGCGCCAUGA
rnacentral:rRNA from 1 species